rnacentral:rRNA from 1 species
AACGAACGCUGGCGGCAUGCCUAACACAUGCAAGUCGAACGAGACCUUCGGGUCUAGUGGCGCACGGGUGCGUAACGCGUGGGAACCUGCCCUUAGGUUCGGAAUAACUCCCCGAAAGGGGUGCUAAUACCGGAUAAUGUCUUCGGACCAAAGAUUUAUCGCCUUUGGAUGGGCCCGCGUUGGAUUAGCUAGUUGGUAGGGUAAAAGCCUACCAAGGCGACGAUCCAUAGCUGGUCUGAGAGGAUGAUCAGCCACACUGGGACUGAGACACGGCCCAGACUCUCCGGGAGGCAAGCGGGGGGAAUUAUUGGAAAAGGGGCGAAGGCGUAAUCCAGAAAUCCGGGGGGAGAAAAGAGGGCUUAGGGGUUGAAAAGCUUUUUUCCAGGGGAGAAAAAGAAGAUACCGGGGAAAAAAGGCCCGGGCAACCCCGGCC